rnacentral:rRNA from 1 species
AUGAAGAGCAUGUACGCUGCCCUCCGCAAGGUGGGCGAAGUGCCACGUGACCAACUCGACGAGCAGGUCAAGCUCUGGGCGGGGGAGGUGAGGGAGCUCUCCUUCAACAUGGAGGAUGUCGUUGACAAGUUUCUGGUGCGUGUCGAUGACGGCUCUGAGCCUGUGGCCAACUCGAACAAGAUCAAACGGCUCACCAAGAAGAUGACCGGCUUGUUCACCAAGGGGAAGACUCACCAUGAGAUCGCAAACGCCAUCAAGGACAUCAAUAAGCAAGUCCAAGACGUUGCUAGCAGGCGUGUGCGGUACAAUGUCGACAAUAUUGUUGCUAUGCCUGCAGCGGUGACUCCCAUCGAUCCUCGCCUUCGGGCUCUGUACACCGAAGUGACAGAGCUUGUUGGCAUUGCUGGGAAAAGGGAUCAAGAGCUAAUGAAGUUGCUUUCACAAGGAGACGACGAGUCCAAGAAAAAAUUGAAGAUUGUCACUGUUGUCGGAUUUGGAGGAUUAGGCAAGACCACUCUUGUCAAAACGGUUUAUGACAAGAUUAAAGGAGAAUUUGAUUGCCGAGCUUUUGUUUCUGUUGGUCGAAAUGCUAGUGCAAAAAAGGUUUUGAUAGAUAUCCUUCUUGCUCUUGACAUGUACGAAAGCCAUUUCACCAUAUUGGGUGAAACACAACUCAUCGACAAACUCCGGGAACGUCUCGAGAACAAGAGGUAA